AACGAACGCUGGCGGCAUGCCUAACACAUGCAAGUCGAACGAGACCUUCGGGUCUAGUGGCGCACGGGUGCGUAACGCGUGGGAACCUGCCCUUAGGUUCGGAAUAACUCCCCGAAAGGGGUGCUAAUACCGGAUAAUUUCUUCGGACCAAAGAUUUAUCGCCUUUGGAUGGUCCCGCGUUGUAUUAGCUAGUUGGUAGGGUAAAAGCCUACCAAGGCGACGAUCCAUAGAUGGUCUGAGAGGAUGAUCAGCCACACUGGGACUGAGACACGGCCCAGAAUCCUACGGGAGGCAGCAGUGGGGAAUAUUGGACAAUGGGCGAAAGCCUGAUCAAGCAAUGACGCGUGAGUGAUGAAGGCCUUAGGGUUGUAAAGCUCUUUUACCCGGGAUGAUAAUGACAGUACCGGGAGAAUAAGCUCCGGCUAACUACGUG
rnacentral:rRNA from 1 species